rnacentral:tRNA from 1 species
GGGGAAGUGCUGGAAUUGGCAGACAGGCAUGACUUAGGAUCAUGUGCCGACAGGCGUGAGGGUUCGAGCCCCUCCUUCCCUA